UAGCAGUACGAUCUGCCCUCCCCUGACGUCAUCCAGCAAAUUGAGGGCGUGGUCUGAUUGAGGGUCAUUUACCUGCCUAUAAAAUCGUUUCGGUUUGCGUUAUGUGUGUGCGUUUGUUUUGUGUCAGCGAGCGAGCCGCCGUACUUCCGGGUUUUUGUGUGGAUGGUGUCGAGGGUGGACUGAGGAGCUUUUCGGGAAGCCCUUUAAUCACUGCGUGUAAUGGAGACAUUCUUAUUAUACAUCUGCAUCCGUGCUUUGUGAGUCGCCGUACAGGUGCGGGCCAAUGUGCAAGGGACGUUACAGUGGGCUGCUGUAGUGGGCUUGUCGCUUGCUGUGUGGCUUUUCUGCGCUAUGUGCAUCGUUUGACCCUGCUUUGAUGUUUGCCUGAUUACCUGCUUUAUCUAGCUACGGCUGCUUCACGCUGCGUCAUCCCUCUUGUCUGCUUCGCUUUGCUCAGCUGUGUAUCUUCUUCUACAUAUCUGUGUAUCGUUGCCGCACUUAAAUACUUACAGGAUCAGCUGGACUGCGGUCUGGACUUGGGGAGUGGGGCGGCCGGCGGCAGCAGUGUAGCAUCUUGUGGUGGUGGGCCUUUUACCUGCAGUGUUCACAGUGAGGUGUGCCGUGCUGUGCUGUGGUGCGUGUGUGCACGCGUGAGUGCUGUGUUCUCUCUGCUUAAAGGACGCCAGGCCUUCCCCCACCCUGAAGUGGGAUGUCUUGUUUGUUUUAUUUUUAACUAUUUGAUACAGUGAAUCAAAUUAAAUCUGUUUUGAAUAAAGUUUUGUUUUAAA